rnacentral:rRNA from 1 species
UUGUUGGUAAGGUAAAAGCUUACCAAGGCUUCGAUCAGUAGCUGGUCUGAGAGGACGACCAGCCACACUGGGACUGAGACACGGCCCAGACUCCUACGGGAGGCAGCAGUGGGGAAUUUUGGACAAUGGGGGCAACCCUGAUCCAGCCAUGCCGCGUGAGUGAAGAAGGCCUUCGGGUUGUAAAGCUCUUUCAGCCGGAACGAAACGGUUACGGUUAAUACCCGUGACUACUGACGGUACCGGAAGAAGAAGCACCGGCUAACUACGUGCCAGCAGCCGCGGUAAUACGUAGGGUGCGAGCGUUAAUCGGAAUUACUGGGCGUAAAGCGUGCGCAGGUGGUUUUGUAAGUCAGAUGUGAAAGCCCCGGGCUCAACCUGGGAACCGCGUUUGAAACUACAAGACUAGAGUGUGGCAGAGGGGGGUGGAAUUCCGCGUGUAGCAGUGAAAUGCGUAGAGAUGUGGAGGAACACCGAUGGCGAAGGCAGCCCCCUGGGUCAACACUGACGCUCAGGCACGAAAGCAUGGGGAGCAAACAGGAUUAGAUACCCUGGUAGUCCAUGCCCUAAACGAUGUCAACUAGUUGUCGGGCCUUUACGGGCUUGGUAACGUAGCUAACGCGUGAAGUUGACCGCCUGGGGAGUACGAUCGCAAGAUUAAAACUCAAAUGAAUUGACGGGGACCCGCACAAGCGGUGGAUUAUGUGGAUUAAUUCGAUGCAACGCGAAAAACCUUACCUACCCUUGACAUGUAUCGAAGCCCGCAGAAAAGCGGGGGUGCCCGAAAGGGAACGAUAACACAGGUGCUGCAUGGCUGUCGUCAGCUCGUGUCGUGAGAUGUUGGGUUAAGUCCCGCAACGAGCGCAACCCUUGUCAUUAAUUGCCAUCAUUUAGUUGGGCACUUUAAUGAGACUGCCGG